UACGAGAGGCCCAAACGUUAUUCGGAAUUACUGGGCUUAAAGAGUUCGUAGGCGGCGCGGAAAGUAGGGUGUGAAAAGCCCCUCGGCUCAACCGAGGAAUUGACGCUCUAAACUACCGUGCUUGAGGAAGCUAGAGGUGAGCGGAACUGAUGGUGGAGCGGUGAAAUGCGUUGAUAUCAUCAGGAACACCGGAGGCGAAGGCGGCUCACUGGGGCUUUUCUGACGCUGAGGAACGAAAGCCAGGGGAGCGAACGGG
rnacentral:rRNA from 1 species